rnacentral:rRNA from 1 species
AUGGGCAACUCCUGUGUUACCGGCGCCAGCAGCAGCUCAAACCACGGGCAGAGUCUGAAAUCCAAGGAGGCAAGACUUAUUGACAACUCAUGUGUUACUGGUUCAAGCCAGUCAAACCAGGCGCGUUGCCAGGAGUCCAACGGGUCAGAGAUUACCUUCAAAUGGAGGAUCGAUGGUUUCUCAUCGCUUCUUGAUAAGGGUAAAUCAUGGACGAACUCCAGUGUGUUUGAGAUCAGGGGUCAUAACUGGCACCUGAUGCUGAACCCAAGGGACAGAAAGAGUGGCGACGAAAAUGAAUAUGUAUCUCUUAUGCUUGUGCUGUUUCAAGUAUCUGAGAGAUCCCAUACAGUCGUGGAGGCAACUUUCAAGUUCUUGAUAUAUGACCAGUCACAUGGAAAGCACCACGAACAGCAUCAAGUGAGCCACAAUUUUCAGGCUACAAGCAGAAUCUCUGGGAGCCCAUGCAUGAUCCCCCUCACGAAGCUUAAGGAGCAAUCCUCUGGAUUCCUUGUCAAAGACAGCUGUGUUUUCGGUAUCCAGUUCAUUAAAGUUGUCGCUGUUAAAGAACCCGAGCACCUCCCCAGAGUUUGA